rnacentral:rRNA from 1 species
GUCCACGCCCUAAACGAUGACGACUAGAUGUCGGAGGGGUCUGCCUUUCGGUGUCGCAGCUAACGCGUUAAGUCGUCCGCCUUGGGAGUACGGCCGCAAGGUUGAAACUCAAAGGAAUUGACUGGGACCCCGCACAAGCGGUGGAGCAUGUGGUUCAAUUCGAUGCAACGCGAAGAACCUUACCUGGCCUUGACAUCCGCGGAACUCGGCAGAAAUGCCUUGGUGCCUUCGGGAAUCGCGAGACAGGUGCUGCAUGGCUGUCGU